AGCAGCAGUGGGGAAUUUUGGACAAUGGGCGCAAGCCUGAUCCAGCCAUUCCGCGUGCAGGAUGAAGGCCUUCGGGUUGUAAACUGCUUUUGUACGGAACGAAAAGGCUCUGGUUAAUACCUGGGGCUCAUGACGGUACCGUAAGAAUAAGCACCGGCUAACUACGUGCCAGCAGCCGCGGUAAUACGUAGGGUGCAAGCGUUAAUCGGAAUUACUGGGCGUAAAGCGUGCGCAGGCGGUGAUGUAAGACAGAGGUGAAAUCCCCGGGCUCAACCUGGGAACUGCCUUUGUGACUGCAUCGCUGGAGUACGGCAGAGGGGGAUGGAAUUCCGCGUGUAGCAGUGAAAUGCGUAGAUAUGCGGAGGAACACCGAUGGCGAAGGCAAUCCCCUGGGCCUGUACUGACGCUCAUGCACGAAAGCGUGGGGAGC
rnacentral:rRNA from 1 species